UUCGAUGCAACGCGAAGAACCUUACCUGGUCUUGACAUCCACAGAAGAAUCCAGAGAUGGAUUUGUGCCUUCGGGAACUGUGAGACAGGUGCUGCAUGGCUGUCGUCAGCUCGUGUUGUGAAAUGUUGGGUUAAGUCCCGCAACGAGCGCAACCCUUAUCCUUUGUUGCCAGCGGUCCGGCCGGGAACUCAAAGGAGACUGCCAGUGAUAAACUGGAGGAAGGUGGGGAUGACGUCAAGUCAUCAUGGCCCUUACGACCAGGGCUACACACGUGCUACAAUGGCGCAUACAAAGAGAAGCGACCUCGCGAGAGCAAGCGGACCUCAUAAAGUGCGUCGUAGUCCGGAUUGGAGUCUGCAACUCGACUCCAUGAAGUCGGAAUCGCUAGUAAUCGUGGAUCAGAAUGCCACGGUGAAUACGUUCCCGGGCCUUGUACACACCGCCCGUCACACCAUGGGAGUGGGUUGCAAAAGAAGUAGGUAGCUUAACCUUCGGGAGGGCGCUUACCACUUUGUGAUUCAUGACUGGGGUGAAGUCGUAACAAGGUAACCGUAGGGGAACCUGC
rnacentral:rRNA from 1 species